CAACCAUCAAGCCCCGGCGCUUGUGUUGGGGACCCGCGGCUGCCGCGGGCCCUUAAAGACAGUGGCGGUCCUCGCUGCAGCACCGAGCGUAGUAGCUAUACACCUCGCCCUGGGAGCUGCGCGUGUCGACCACGCCGUAAAACCCCCCACCUCUCACAA
rnacentral:misc_RNA from 1 species